GCCCUCUUGGUGCAGUAGGCAGCAUGUCAGUCUCAUAAUCUGAAGGUCCUGAGUUCGAACCUCAGAGAGGGCA
rnacentral:tRNA from 2 species